rnacentral:rRNA from 1 species
GAUGGUAGCCAUAUCACCCAAGACUGGUUACCCACUGAAACUAAGCAGGGUUGAGCCUGGUCAGCACCUGGAUGGGAGACCUCCUGGGAAAACUAGGUUGCUGCUGUUU